rnacentral:rRNA from 1 species
CCCAGACUCCUACGGGAGGCAGCAGUGGGGAAUAUUGCACAAUGGGGGGAACCCUGAUGCAGCGACGCCGCGUGGGCGAGGAAGUAUUUCGGUAUGUAAAGCCCUAUCGGCAGGGAAGAAGAAAUGACGGUACCUGAAUAAGAAGCCCCGGCUAACUACGUGCCAGCAGCCGCGGUAAUACGUAGGGGGCAAGCGUUAUCCGGAAUUACUGGGUGUAAAGGGAGCGCAGACGGCAGUGCAAGUCUGGAGUGAAAGCCCGUGGCUUAACCACGGGACUGCUCUGGAAACUGUAAAGCUGGAGUGCGGGAGGGGCAGGCGGAAUUCCUGGUGUAGCGGUGAAAUGCGUAGAUAUCAGGAGGAACACCGGCGGCGAAGGCGGCCUGCUGGACCGUAACUGACGUUGAGGCUCGAAAGCGUGGGGAGCAAACAGGAUUAGAUACCCCGGUAC